UCGUCCCAGUGAUGGUCUAGUACGGAUCUGUUAUGGUGCUGGGGAUGUUGCCUGUCCCAGAGUUCCGGUCGGCACAAGACUUCUGCAAUCAGGCAUUUCGUGUCCACCAAAUUUGAAUUUAGACCGGCCAUUUCCAAACGAUUGAUUUGCGAUUUUUCCCAGAAAAACAACACGACAAUCUACGGACCUUGGUGACAAACAGAUCUGAUAAGAACACUAUCGCAAUUUAUAGUGUGUACGUCGUAUACGCGUGAGCCUCGCCGGACGUUUACCCGCUCCCGCUGCAAGCGGGCGGCCACCGUCGUCGCCGCCGGUUUGUGUCGAUUCGGCGGCGGCAACAGUCUUGCCAACGUUGUUAACGUCGGCCGCCGCUGUUACCGGACGAAAUCGCCCCGCCGUCACCACCGAUCGGUCGCUGGUCAAUAUAUCAUUUUAUCGCCAAUUACCAUAAUACAUGGGUAUUGGCAACUUUAGCGGUUUAUUGCACUCUAAUGGCGCCGCUUUUGUUCCUAUCCUGGUUUAUGGCUUGUCCAUGGAUAUGAUUCUUCCAUAAAGUUACCUUGACUGCAACGAAAGUACUUAUUACCACGAAUGAUUACAAACUGUAUGCUCGACUACGGAAGAAGGUAUCCGCGGUCGACUCGAUGUCGGUUCGAUCGAUCCAGAAGACUUGAAGCGUCGUAUCAAUCAUUUGGACACGAUAGUUUUCCAUUGCCAGCUAGUACAAUAUGCCGGCUAAGGACAUACCUACUAUAAUGAUAAAUACAAUGUUACAUGGUUUACACCGGUGCACGUGAAACCAGAUUAUCCUAUACCAUAUACGAUUAAAGUUAUAGCUGGCCGUCGUUACAAUGACAUUUCGAGAUGACUGAACACCGAUGAAAAACAAUAGGAUUUAAUGAAAGUGUCAGUUCCGGUGUUCGGACGCUCGGCCAAGUGCCGAUAACGAAGAGCUUGGAUAUUGGAAUUUUAUCCCUCUUAAAAACGUCUUGGCUGCGCAUUAGUUUUUUUUUUAAAUAAAGAACCGCGUUAUUUAAAUAAUAUAAUAUUCAUAACAUUACAAAAAAACGAGUUUAUCGACUUAAUCAUUCGUUUUUGUUUUUGCGGCGCGGCAAUUAUAUUUU